UUGUGCGUUUUAUAUGUUGUAGCUUAGCUAGAAAUUGCUUUUUAGUCUAACAACCGACUAGUUUGGUGUAGUACAUAUUUGUAAAUUCUCUUCCAUAACUACUAUAAUGACACGUCUUCAGUGCCUAUUUGCUUUGGCAAAGUGAAUUUUGGUGGAAAGAAGACAAACAUUUGUAAGUUAUGACGAUACAACUGACUGAAAAUAGCUGUCUAGUUGAGUGUACAAACUAUGAAAACAAACAAUUCAAGGGAAUCUGAUCAGUCGAGUGUCUCCUUAAACAGAGAUUCACAGGAGAACAGAUCUGCCGAAAACAACGAUGACGGCUGAGCCAAAGCUGGUGAAGAAAGAAAAACAGGACUUUAGAGCACAUCUUUGAGCUCGUUUGUCAAAGGGUUGCCACAUCUGCAGGAUUCCCUCGUGAUAAGUGUCAUAUUGAAGAUUUACGACUCGUUCUACUGCUGUAUCUGUGCCAAACAAACAGACUGGGAGCAGAUCCACCCCAUAAUAAACAAGCCUUAGAUCUGGGCUCUGGUAAACAGCAGCAGACACACUUGAUAAGUACUUGUGUCGUGGAGGGUAGUCUGUCCCGUGGCUCUUUUUCUCAUAAUGCUUAUUCAUUUGUGUUCAUAAAACGAUGACAAAAGUGAAUGCAUGUACGUUCAUGACUAGGGCUGGAAAUCUUGUUCACCUAAAUUUCCUUACAAUUCCCAAUCCAUAUUCAUAACCUGCACGAUCCAGCAAAAGAUGAUAAAAUACUGUGGAUACACCGGUCAUCUUAAAUUAGAUUCGAUUAGAUUAAUUGUAAACUAGAUUUUUACAUUUUCAAGAGAGAAUGUGUGCUGCUGGGGUGUUCUGGGUGGUUUCCAGGGUGUUGCUAGGUUGUUCAAUGAGUAAUCGUGAUAAUUAAUCAUGAUUUCAGUACUGACCCAAAUAAAUGAUUAUGAUUUGUGCCAUAAUUGAGCAGCCCUAGUCUCAAAUGUCUAUGACCUUCUGAUCGCUCGGGUCUCUCUCAUAUUUAAUAUGCGUCUGUGGGAUGUUUUUCACCCUGUUUUAAAGUCCUUCAGAUUAAAAUGUCACAUCUGAUUAUUAACAGCACACCUUUCCUCAAUUAUUUGAGGAAUCAUUCAUUUUUGGAGAUGAUGCACACAAUGAAGUUUAAUACCCAAGUAAUCCAAACAAAUCACUAACUGCAAGUAUGAGUAA